AUCUUCUCCAAGAAAGUAAGUGUAGAGAUAGUAGAUAAACCUCCAAUGAUGCCAACAGUGUUUUCUUGGUUGAUCAAUGAUUUAGGAAUAUGAUUUGAACAGAUAAUCUUCUUAGAUUUGGACAAACUUCUCUUUGUUCUAUGAUUGAUCCUGUUCUUACAGAGGUUACCUAUGAAGAUUGAUGGGAAAUUGAGCUUGUGGAAGGAUAUGGUACUCAUAAGGAUGGAAAUGGCUGAGAAUAUUUUUAGUAUAAUAAAAUUUCUUGUUACUUCCUAUAUAAUUUUUUUUUCCAAAGUGAUCGCUAAAGCUUAUAUUUUGUUUGAGUAAUACGACUCGGCAGAGAUGAUCGCCAGUCUAUUUGGUUGGCGAUAUGACAACCAGCAAUUUGAUGUGGCAUUGACUUUAAAAAUUAUGAGAAUUUAUUUGAUUAACUAAGACCCUGUUUGUUUUCAAUUAUUUGAAGAGAAUAAUCCAUUUUUUUAACUUUUUUGUCAGCACACGGGAUCUAUUGUGAGAUAAAAAGUCAAAAAUUACGGCUGAAAUAGAUGUAACAAUCUGAAAAUGAAUUUAAAUUGAGCAAAAAGUUGGUGGCAAACGGGGGUUAAACUUAAAAACAAAGUUAGGGCAUUCUAGAACAUGAUUGUCUAGCCACGUCCACUAAUAAUAAUUAGUAGAAGAAAG
rnacentral:lncRNA from 1 species